rnacentral:rRNA from 1 species
GACGAACGCUGGCGGCGUGCUUAACACAUGCAAGUCGAACGGAAAGGCCCUGCUUUUGUGGGGUGCUCGAGUGGCGAACGGGUGAGUAACACGUGAGUAACCUGCCCUUGACUUUGGGAUAACUUCAGGAAACUGGGGCUAAUACCGGAUAGGAGCUCCUGCUGCAUGGUGGGGGUUGGAAAGUUUCGGCGGUUGGGGAUGGACUCGCGGCUUAUCAGCUUGUUGGUGGGGUAGUGGCUUACCAAGGCUUUGACGGGUAGCCGGCCUGAGAGGGUGACCGGCCACAUUGGGACUGAGAUGCGGCCCAGACUCCUACGGGAGGCAGCAGUGGGGAAUAGUGCACAAUGGGCGGAAGCCUGAUGCAGCAACGCCGCGUGCGGGAUGACGGCCUUCGGGUUGUAAACCGCUUUCGCCUGUGACGAAGCGUGAGUGACGGUAAUGGGUAAAGAAGCACCGGCUAACUACGU